CGGCGGACGGGUGAGUAAUGUCUGGGAAACUGCCUGAUGGAGGGGGAUAACUACUGGAAACGGUAGCUAAUACCGCAUAACGUCGCAAGACCAAAGAGGGGGACCUUCGGGCCUCUUGCCAUCAGAUGUGCCCAGAUGGGAUUAGCUAGUAGGUGGGGUAACGGCUCACCUAGGCGACGAUCCCUAGCUGGUCUGAGAGGAUGACCAGCCACACUGGAACUGAGACACGGUCCAGACUCCUACGGGAGGCAGCAGUGGGGAAUAUUGCACAAUGGGCGCAAGCCUGAUGCAGCCAUGCCGCGUGUAUGAAGAAGGCCUUCGGGUUGUAAAGUACUUUCAGCGGGGAGGAAGGUGCUGAGGUUAAUAACCUCAGCAAUUGACGUUACCCGCAGAAGAAGCACCGGCUAACUCCGUGCCAGCAGCCGCGGUAAUACGGAGGGUGCAAGCGUUAAUCGGAAUUACUGGGCGUAAAGCGCACGCAGGCGGUCUGUCAAGUCGGAUGUGAAAUCCCCGGGCUCAACCUGGGAACUGCAUUCGAAACUGGCAGGCUAGAGUCUUGUAGAGGGGGGUAGAAUUCCAGGUGUAGCGGUGAAAUGCGUAGAGAUCUGGAGGAAUACCGGUGGCGAACGCGGCCCCCUGGACAAAGACUGACGCUCAGGUGCGAAAGCGUGGGGGAGCAAACAGGAUUAGAUACCCUGGUAGUCCACGCCGUAAACGAUGUCGACUUGGAGGUUGUGCCCUUGAGGCGUGGCUUCCGGAGCUAACGCGUUAAGUCGACCGCCUGGGGAGUACGGCCGCAAGGUUAAAACUCAAAUGAAUUGACGGGGGCCCGCACAAGCGGUGGAGCAUGUGGUUUAAUUCGAUGCAACGCGAAGAACCUUACCUACUCUUGACAUCCAGAGAACUUAGCAGAGAUGCUUUGGUGCCUUCGGGAACUCUGAGACAGGUGCUGCAUGGCUGUCGUCAGCUCGUGUUGUGAAAUGUUGGGUUAAGUCCCGCAACGAGCGCAACCCUUAUCCUUUGUUGCCAGCGGUUCGGCCGGGAACUCAAAGGAGACUGCCAGUGAUAAACUGGAGGAAGGUGGGGAUGACGUCAAGUCAUCAUGGCCCUUACGAGUAGGGCUACACACGUGCUACAAUGGCGCAUACAAAGAGAAGCGACCUCGCGAGAGCAAGCGGACCUCAUAAAGUGCGUCGUAGUCCGGAUUGGAGUCUGCAACUCGACUCCAUGAAGUCGGAAUCGCUAGUAAUCG
rnacentral:rRNA from 1 species